rfam:Candidatus Staskawiczbacteria bacterium RIFCSPLOWO2_01_FTLL_33_9 rifcsplowo2_01_scaffold_21195, whole genome shotgun sequence.
AUACAAUUAAAUAUAAAGCCGUAGACAGCAGGUACUUUAAUGAUAAAUCCUGCCGAGGUAUAAAAUAACGCUUUUUGUUGUUUUAUAUUUGGUCUGCGGAAACGCGGAUUUUUUAUUAAAAUU